rnacentral:rRNA from 1 species
UACGUAGGGGGCGAGCGUUGUCCGGAUUUACUGGGCGUAAAGCGCGUGUUGGGGGGGAAGCAAGUCCGGUGGGAAAGCCCGCGGCUCAACCGCGGAAGUUCGCUGGAAACUGCUACUCUUGAGGGUGAUAGAGGGAAGUGGAAUUGCUGGUGUAGCGGUGAAAUGCGUAGAUAUCAGCAGGAACACCCGUGGCGAAGGCGGCUUCCUGGACAAUUGCUGACGCUCAGGCACGAAAGCAUGGGGAGCAAAAGGG